AUGAAAUGGGAAAAGUCGCAGGUAUACUUUGACCGUUCCCGGCUGUUCGGCAACGCCGUGCUCGACGGCAUCGACUUCGAUAUCGAGCUCGGGAGCCACGCCUACUACGAUGACCUCACCAGGUACCUCAAUGCCUACGACAGCAGGAAGGGCGAGAAGAAGGUGUUCAUCAUGGUAGCGCCGUUGUGGCCGUUCCCGGACAGGAUGCUGGGGGAGGCGCUCCGGACGGGGCUCUUUGACCGCGUUCACGUCCAGUUCUACAACAACCCUACCUGCAGCAACAGUGCGGGCAACGUGGCAGCCUUCAAGAAGGCGUACGACACUGCCCAAGAGCUCCGUCUACCUCGGGCUACCGGCUGCGCGAGCGGCGUCGAACAAGGGAAGCGGCUACGUGGAACCUGGGAAGCUGGUGUCCAAGGUGCUGCCCAUCGUGCAGCGCUCCAACAACGGAGGGAUCAUGUUGUGGAACAAUUACUUUGA
rnacentral:rRNA from 1 species